AUUGAACGCUGGCGGCAGGCCUAACACAUGCAAGUCGAGCGAGUGGCGGACGGGUGAGUAAUGUCUGGGAAACCGCCCGAUGGAGGGGGAUAACUACUGGAAACGGUAGCUAAUACCGCAUACCCUCGGAUGUGCCCAGAUGGGAUUAGCUAGUAGGUGGGGUAAUGGCUCACAUAGGCGACGAUCCCUAGCUGGUCUGAGGGGAUGACCAGCCAAACUGGAACUGGGACAGGGUCCAGAUUCCUACGGGAGGCGGCAGUGGGGACUAUUGCACAAGGGGGGCAGGCCGGAUGCGCACAGGCCGGGUGUGUGAAGAAGGCCUUCGGGUUGUAAAGCACUUUCAGCGGGGAGGCGUUACCCGAAGAAGAAGCACCGGCUAACUCCGUGCCAGCAGCCGCGGUAAUAC
rnacentral:rRNA from 1 species